CAAUAGCGUAUAUUUAAGUUGUUGCAGUUAAAAAGCUCGUAGUUGGAUUUCGGUUAAGAGCGACCGGUCCGCCGUUUGGUGUGCACUGGUUGGUUUUAACUUCCUGUAGAGGACGUGCUCUGGGUUUAACGACCUGGACUCGGAGUCUACGUGGUUACUUUGAAAAAAUUAGAGUGUUCAAAGCGGGCUUACGCUUGAAUAUUUCAGCAUGGAAUAACACUAUAGGACUCCUGUCCUAUUUCGUUGGUCUCGGGACGGGAGUAAUGAUUAAGAGGAACAGUUGGGGGCAUUCGUAUUUCAUUGUCAGAGGUGAAAUUCUUGGGUUUAUGAAAGACGAACUUCUGCGAAAGCAUUUGCCAAGGAUGUUUUCAUUAA
rnacentral:rRNA from 1 species